GCAGUCGAACGGUAACAGCGGGAGCUUGCUCCCGGCUGACGAGUGGCGGACGGGUGAGUAACGCGUAGGAAUCUGCCCAGUAGUGGGGGACAACCCGGGGAAACUCGGGCUAAUACCGCAUACGCCCUACGGGGGAAAGAUGGCCUCUCCUUGGAAGCUGUCACUAUUGGAUGAGCCUGCGUCGGAUUAGCUAGUUGGUAGGGUAAAGGCCUACCAAGGCGACGAUCCGUAGCUGGUCUGAGAGGACGACCAGCCACACUGGGACUGAGACACGGCCCAGACUCCUACGGGAGGCAGCAGUGGGGAAUAUUGCACAAUGGGGGCAACCCUGAUGCAGCAAUGCCGCGUGUGUGAAGAAGGCCUGCGGGUUGUAAAGCACUUUCAAUGGGGAAGAAAAGGUGAGGGUGAAUAGCCCUUGCUCUUGACGUUACCUUUAGAAGAAGCACCGGCUAACUCCGUGCCAGCAGCCGCGGUAAUACGGAGGGUGCGAGCGUUAAUCGGAAUUACUGGGCGUAAAGCGCGCGUAGGCGGUUUGUUAAGUCAGAUGUGAAAGCCCUGGGCUCAACCUGGGAACUGCAUUUGAUACUGUCGGACUGGAGUAUGGUAGAGGGAAGUGGAAUUCCGGGUGUAGCGGUGAAAUGCGUAGAUAUCCGGAGGAACACCAGUGGCGAAGGCGACUUCCUGGACCAAUACUGACGCUGAGGUGCGAAAGCGUGGGUAGCAAACAGGAUUAGAUACC
rnacentral:rRNA from 1 species